UCCGAAGGGUGCAAGCGUUGCUCGGAAUUAUUGGGCGUAAAGGGUUGGUAGGUGGUCUUGUUUGUCUAAGGUGAAAUCCCAUGGCUUAACUGUGGAAGUGCCUUAGAAACGGCAAGACUAGAGUCCUAGAGGGGUUUGUGGAAUUCCCGGUGUAGCGGUGAAAUGCGUAGAGAUCGGGAGGAACACCAGCGGCGAAGGCGGCAAACUGGAUAGGCACUGACACUCAACAACGAAAGCGUGGGGAGCAAACAGG
rnacentral:rRNA from 1 species